rnacentral:lncRNA from 1 species
CAGAGUAGACACCACGGUUUACUAAGUUCUGAGACAAAAUUAUUUACGGGACCUUACACUCUCUCCCGCUUAAGAUCAUUCGUCCUCGAAUGAGAACAGUGGAAAUCAACGAGUUGGAAAACAUGAUAUGCAAGCUUCUACACCUGUUAUUAACUUUCAAGUUUGUUUUAGAAAAAUUUCGCCAGAGUUUCCUUUGUAAUAUGGACAUA